rnacentral:lncRNA from 1 species
ACUUAGCCUUGUCCCUACCUCUUUACUCCUCUGUAGGCAGUAAUUCUUUUUUCUUUUCUUUCUUUUUUUUUUCUUUUGGUGUAACAGUAUCGCAUGAGCCAAGACUGUCAUGAAACUAUUUGGAUACUGUACUCUGGUUCCUUCAUCUCCUCCAUCUGCAUCAGCCUAAAUUGUCCUAUUUUUAGGUUUUCUAGUUCUGUUGUGCCCUUUAUUCAAUGCAAGCCAUCAACAAGUUCCUUAAACAUAAAACUCUGUGACACUCUAAACUGCAAGACAAUGUGACAAUGAGUAUGCCAGUCUGAAAAGAACAAAGGAGCAGGGUUCAGAAGAACUGGCCUUUACCAGCUCUGUCAUUUUCCAGUGGUGUGGCCUUGCAGAGGUCACUUCAGUUUUCCAGGCUUUGGCCAAAGAAAGGUGGGGGCAGGUGGUACCUUCCCAGCUCAAGUCUUCUGGAAUAGAGCGUACGCCCAUGAAGCCCUGCACCUGUUGGAGCUUCAUAGCUGUAAUCAAGUCUGUCUUUUGUUACAGGAGCCUCUGCCAUGAACCCGGGGAUAAGUGAGGAAAGAAAUUUUUCCUCCUUCACAGUAUCAAGUGCCAGGCCAGGGCACUUUGUCCAGGCCUCACUGUGAAGAAAGAGUAAUGUUCAAGGAUGGCAGCAGGAAGGACCCUAAUGAAGAGGUUUAUCUGAUUGGUUUACUGGAGUCCUAUGUGGGAUGAAUAGCUUCAGCCUUUGCGCUUGCACCUCUUUGCUGUCCACUCCAAUCAAGAACGGGGGCCCUCGCAACUCUCUCAGUUCUGAAACAAAUUAAAUCUCAGUGACAGACU